rnacentral:misc_RNA from 1 species
AUUGCCCAUUGAAACUUCCUCGAAUAUACAAAAUCUAGUAGGUGGUUUGAUUCGGAUCAACUAUAAAUGGUUCCCUGGUUUAGCAAUCUUUCAUCUUUCUCUGUAAUUCCUCUAUUUCCUUUUCUACCAAACAAAAUAGAGCAGCUAUAGUACUUGUCAAAAUGGCUUCUACCUCAUCUUUGACCUUCUCCUCUAAAACUACCUUCGAUGUUUUCCUUAGUUUUAGAGGUAUUGAUACUCGUCCAACUUUUACUAGUCAUCUUUAUUCUGCUUUAUGUCGGAAAAGUAUCCCAACAUUCAUAGACGAUGAUCUUGAGAGAGGAGAAGGGAUCUCGCCAACGCUUUUGAAGGCGAUUGAAGGAUCCAAGAUUUCAGUAGUAAUUUUCUCAGAAAAUUAU